AUGGCCGCAGAUCCAGCGGCGCCCGUCUCUGGCGUUGGCAUCAAGCGCUCGGCGCUGAGCCACGACCACGAGGAGCGGCCCAGCGGCCGGAGCAAGGGGCCGUCGUCGCAUCAGGCGAACAAGAGCACCGGCAAGGCAAAGGUAGUAGCCGACGCUCAAGACCACGGCAGCGACGGCGAUAACGAGCGGAAGCGGCGCAGGCAUCUCGCCAUCGACAUCAAUAAGGUGCCCCAUCACGACGACGACGACCUCGACAACCCUCUUCCCGCCACCGCCGGCGGCGUUAGCUGCUCGCCGCCGCAGCAGCAUCCGCACCGAGCGCUCUCGCUCGACAGCAAGAAGCGGGAGCUGGAGAUUAAGAAGCGGGAGAUCGAGAUCGAAGACGCGAUGCUGGAGCUGGAGCGGGAGCGCGUGCAGUGGGCCGAGGCGAAUCUGAGGGAGGAGAUGGAGCUGAAGAACAUGCGGCUGGAGAAUGACAGGAUGCGGCUGGAGAACCACCGGCUCCUGGUGAAGGUCAAGCGCAAGGAACUGGAGCUCGGCGUCGUCAGAUCCAAGAGGAUCUAG
rnacentral:rRNA from 1 species